CCCUUAGAUGUUCUGGGCCGCACACGCGCUACACUGAAGGAGGCAGCGUUUACUCCUGGAUCGAAAGAUUUGGGUAACCCGCGAAUCUCCUUCGUGCUAGGGAUUGAGGUUUGCAAUUAUCCUUCAUGAACGAGGAAUUCCCAGUAAGUGCAAGUCAUAAGCUUGCGCUGACUACGUCCCUGCCCUUUGUACACACCGCCCGUCGCUACUACCGAUUGAAUGAUUUAGUGAGGACUUCGGACUGGGACCGAUGCGGCUUUCGGGCUGCGUCGGUAUUCUGGAAAGAUGUCCAAACUGUAUCAUUUAGAGGAAGUAAAAGUCGUAACA
rnacentral:rRNA from 1 species